rnacentral:lncRNA from 1 species
UCCAGAUGAGCUGUUUGUGAUGGAAUGGGUUGGUGAAGACCGCUACAUUAUUGGGAUCUAAGUGUAUUCUGUUGGGAUUCUCUAGGUUCUUUGAGGGAAGGUACCAGAUGGCAGUGAAGAGAAGGCUAACCUUUUGGAGCAACAAAGAGGAGAAAGAAGAUGAGGAAUCGUUUGUAUGGAAGAAUAUGGCCCCUGGGACUCAGCAAAUGCAGGAACCAGCGUCCACUGUCCUUCGGAUGCAACUCCAUCACCGGUUUCCUUGCUCUCCUGCUGCACGUUGCCCCCGCCUACCGUGCUCC